rnacentral:tRNA from 1 species
GCCGGCAUAGCUCAGUUGGUAGAGCAACCGCCUUGUAAGCGGUAGGUCCUCCGUUCGAGUCGGAGUGUCGGCACCA